AUAUUCCGAGAGACAACGCGGAUUUCAGGUCGGAGGAUUUUCGUUUCUGACAUGUGUGGAGUCAUGUGGCAGUUAAACACCACAUUUGAUGACCCGAGAAGAACAUUGCAACUAUGCACCACAUUUGUUGACCUAAGAAAAUUGCUGUAGAAGAAAUAGCCAGAGUGAGGUGCUCAAGGAAGCUGAGUAUUGAGAUUUUAUGACAGCAGUAUCUGCAUAAAGGAUUCUAUUGUGCACCUGCAAAUCAGGACUAUUCCAGUAAAACCCAGUGUGCCAGUGCAGAUAUUGGAUCUUCCCAGCUUGUCAUGUGUUUUGGAGUGUUGCCUUUCGUCUCAAAGGAUUGUGUUGCUUGGACUGCCAGAAUUCCAAAGUCCCACUGCAUACUCACAACCCAUUGCAGUUGUUUGCUGUACCCAUUCAACGUUUUGAACAAGUGCAUCUGGAUAUAGUCAGACCUUUACUGCCUUCAGAAGGAUACUUCUACUUUUUACCCUUAACAACAGAUUUUUCUGAUGGCCAGAAGCAAUACCUAUAUGGGAUAUUUUGGCAGAAACUGUCACUCAAGCAUUUGUUACCCACUGGAUUGCAUGAUUUGGAGUUCCUACUACUAUCAGUACCAAUCAAGGCCGGCAGUUUGAGUCUCAUAUGUUCACUACUCUCAAUAAAAUUCUUGGUGUUUAUCAAAUUUGGACUUCCCCAUACCACCCUGCAGCUAAUGGAUUACUUGAGAGAUUCCAUUGUUCACUAAAACAAGAAUUAAUGUACCAUAAUAAAGUCCAAUAGACAGUGAGCCUUCCAAUUGUACUCCUUGGUCUCUGAGCAACAUACAAAGAAGAUUUGGGGCUCAGAAAUGGUUUAUGGAACAAUUAUUCUUCUAGACUAGAAGAGACA